GAUGAACGCUAGCUACAGGCUUAACACAUGCAAGUCGAGGGGAAACGCCAUUGAAGCUUUCUUCGAUGGUCGUCGACCGGCGCACGGGUGAGUAACGCGUAUCCAACCUGCCUCUGACCCAGGGAUAACCCGUCGAAAGUCGGCCUAAUACCUUAUGCAGUCGUCGGAAGUCCUCUGAUGACGACGAAAGAUUUCAUCGGUGAGAGAUGGGGAUGCGUCUGAUUAGCUUGUUGGCGGGGUAACGGCCCACCAAGGCAACGAUCAGUAGGGGUUCUGAGAGGAAGGUCCCCCACAUUGGAACUGAGACACGGUCCAAACUCCUACGGGAGGCAGCAGUGAGGAAUAUUGGUCAAUGGGCGAGAGCCUGAACCAGCCAAGUAGCGUGCAGGAUGACGGCCCUAUGGGUUGUAAACUGCUUUUAUGCGGGGAUAAAGUGAGGGACGUGUCCUUCAUUGCAGGUACCGCAUGAAUAAGGACCGGCUAAUUCCGUG
rnacentral:rRNA from 1 species